CCUACGGGUGGCAGCAGUGAGGAAUAUUGGUCAAUGGGCGAGAGCCGGAACCAGCCAAGUCGCGUGAAGGAUGAAGGAUCUAUGGUUUGUAAACUUCUUUUAUAGGGGAAUAAAGUGAGGAACGUGUUCCUUUUUGUAUGUACCAUAUGAAUAAGCAUCGGCUAACUCCGUGCCAGCAGCCGCGGUAAUACGGAGGAGGCGAGCAUUAUCCGGAUUUAUUGGGUUUAAAGGGUGCGUAGGGGGUUAAUUAAGUCAGCGGUGAAAGUUUGUGGCUCAACCAUCACAUUGCCGUUGAAACUGGUUGACUUGCUUAUCUUUGCGGUCGGCGGACUGCGUGGUGUAGCGG
rnacentral:rRNA from 1 species